AGGAGACAGGUGCUGCAUGGCUGUCGUCAGCUCGUGCCGUGAGGUGUUGGGUUAAGUCCCGCAACGAGCGCAACCCUCGUGCUAUGUUGAUUUCUCAUAGCAGACUGCCUUGUACAGCAAGGAGGAAGGUGGGGAUGACGUCAAGUCAGCAUGGCCUUUAUGCCCUGGGCUACACACACGCUACAAUGGGUGGGUACAGAGGGUUGCCACGGAGCAAUCCGGAGCGAAUCCCUUAAAACCAUCCUCAGUUCGGAUUGCAGGCUGCAAUCGCCUGCAUGAAGCCGGAGCUGCUAGUAACCGCAGGUCAGCUAUACUGCGGUGAAUACGUUCUCGGGCCUU
rnacentral:rRNA from 1 species